UACGAAGGGGGCUAGCGUUGUUCGGAAUUACUGGGCGUAAAGCGCGUGUAGGCGGCCCGGAAAGUCGGAUGUGAAAGCCCUGGGCUUAACCUAGGAAGUGCAUUCGAAACUGCUGGGCUUGAGUUCUGGAGAGGAAGGCGGAAUUCUCGGUGUAGAGGUGAAAUUCGUAGAUAUCGAGAGGAACACCGGUGGCGAAGGCGGCCUUCUGGACAGUGACUGACGCUGAGACGCGAAAGCGUGGGGAGCAAACAGG
rnacentral:rRNA from 1 species